rnacentral:rRNA from 1 species
UGCAAGUCGAACGAUGAUGCCMAGCUUGCUGGGUGGAUUAGUGGCGAACGGGUGAGUAACACGNGAGANAACCUGCCCCUGACUCUGGGAUAAGCGUUGGAAACGACGUCUAAUACUGGAUAUGAUCACUGGCCGCAUGGUCUGGUGGUGGAAAGAUUUUUUGGUUGGGGAUGGACUCGCGGCCUAUCAGCUUGUUGGUGAGGUAAUGGCUCACCAAGGCGACGACGGGUAGCCGGCCUGAGAGGGUGACCGGCCACACUGGGACUGAGACACGGCCCAGACUCCUACGGGAGGCAGCAGUGGGGAAUAUUGCACAAUGGGCGAAAGCCUGAUGCAGCAACGCCGCGUGAGGGAUGACGGCCUUCGGGUUGUAAACCUCUUUUAGUAGGGAAGAAGCGAAAGUGACGGUACCUGCAGAAAAAGCACCGGCUAACUACGUGCCAGCAGCCGCGGUAAUACGUAGGGUGCAAGCGUUGUCCGGAAUUAUUGGGCGUAAAGAGCUCGUAGGCGGUUUGUCGCGUCUGCUGUGAAAUCCCGAGGCUCAACCUCGGGCUUGCAGUGGGUACGGGCAGACUAGAGUGCGGUAGGGGAGAUUGGAAUUCCUGGUGUAGCGGUGGAAUGCGCAGAUAUCAGGAGGAACACCGAUGGCGAAGGCAGAUCUCUGGGCCGUAACUGACGCUGAGGAGCGAAAGCAUGGGGAGCGAACAGGAUUAGAUACCCUGGUAGUCCAUGCCGUAAACGUUGGGCGCUAGAUGUAGGGACCUUUCCACGGUUUCUGUGUCGUAGCUAACGCAUUAAGCGCCCCGCCUGGGGAGUACGGCCGCAAGGCUAAAACUCAAAGGAAUUGACGGGGGCCCGCACAAGCGGCGGAGCAUGCGGAUUAAUUCGAUGCAACGCGAAGAACCUUACCAAGGCUUGACAUACACCGGAAACGGCCAGAGAUGGUCGCCCCCUUGUGGUCGGUGUACAGGUGGUGCAUGGUUGUCGUCAGCUCGUGUCGUGAGAUGUUGGGUUAAGUCCCGCAACGAGCGCAACCCUCGUUCUAUGUUGCCAGCGGGUUAUGCCGGGGACUCAUAGGAGACUGCCGGGGUCAACUCGGAGGAAGGUGGGGAUGACGUCAAAUCAUCAUGCCCCUUAUGUCUUGGGCUUCACGCAUGCUACAAUGGCCGGUACAAAGGGCUGCGAUACCGUAAGGUGGAGCGAAUCCCAAAAAGCCGGUCUCAGUUCGGAUUGAGGUCUGCAACUCGACCUCAUGAAGUCGGAGUCGCUAGUAAUCGCAGAUCAGCAACGCUGCGGUGAAUACGUUCCCGGGCCUUGUACACRCCRCCCGUCAAGUCAUGAAAGUCGGUAACACCCGAAGCCGKNGGCCUAACCCU